CUUUUGUGGGGUGCUCGAGUGGCGAACGGGUGAGUAACACGUGAGUAACCUGCCCUUGACUUUGGGAUAACUUCAGGAAACUGGGUCUAAUACCGGAUAGGAGCCAUUUUUAGUGUGAUGGUUGGAAAGUUUUUCGGUGUAGGAUGAGCUCGCGGCCUAUCAGCUUGUUGGUGGGGUAAUGGCCUACCAAGGCGGCGACGGGUAGCCGGCCUGAGAGGGUGGACGGCCACAUUGGGACUGAGAUACGGCCCAG
rnacentral:rRNA from 1 species